rnacentral:lncRNA from 1 species
AUGGGUGACCUCCUUCAUAGUGGCCACCUUUGCAGGAGUACCCACGUGGCACAGGAGGGCUUCAUAGCCUUCAUUGGCUUUCCUCUCAUUCCCAGUGGACAGCUGCAGAAUUCUGGAUGGGUCCCAGAUAGAUUAACUCAAAGUUGCAAACAUUUCUUCCUUCUCCAGGAACCCAGACACAGCACAGGUGUGGGGGAAUGUGAAGACAGUGGGCCUCAAGGGCUGGCCCCAGAUGACGAGUCUCUGAUGCCGGAAGUCCUAGCAAGUGCAUUUCCUGCAGGACUGAUACUGAGCUUAUCUGUUUUCAUGAGGGGCUGUUAUCUUGUAGGUUUGCGUCACUGUCUUCAUCUCGCUCCAGAGCACCAUUGGGGAAAUUGGGAGGAAUUUCCAUUAAAAAUGAGAUAGAGUUGAUUUUGAAAAGAGAAGAGCCUACCCUCUCUCAUUUCCUGACACUGAGUCAAGUGACUUCCAGUAAAGGUAGGAAGAUGAUUGACAUUCGUCUCCUUCUCUCUUUCUGCUCUGGUUCAGUGACCCCAAAACUGUAUCAGUCAGAAAAACAGGGCCUCUCACCCUCUAGGAGUGGGUUUCGUUUCUAUGAGGAGCUUCCAUGUUAACCUUCCAGCUCUGUGUCUUCCUAGCUCUCUCCCUGAUGUUGAGACAUUUCUGUUACCAGAUAAACAGAUGGAGGCUGAUGGUAACAGAGGACUCUGGGUGGGGUCCAGGAAGGAAGCCACCUGAUAGCAGUGCUAGGGGUGUCAUUCUCAUGUACUCCAUGGGGUCACCAAGCUGGAGAGGCAGAGGAGCCACAUUGUACAUCUGAGCUGUGUUGGGUGGAUGCUUGCUAGACCCUGAGAUCUAGGACAGGAGACAGGACAGCUUGGCUAGUCUACUCUUCACCUGAAGGCAUGAGAAAUGUGUUCAACCUCCUUAACCUUAUUUCUGUUUUGCCACCUGAUCUGUUAAGAAGUGAGUUGAAAGUUUUAAAAUUUCCUAUUGCUUUUUUCCUGUCAAUUAAUACUUCUACUUUGAGCGAGUUUUAUUUUAUAUAUGUAAUGGCUAUGUUACUUAGGACUUAGAAUGUAUGCCUGUUAACUGUUGCAUCCUGGAAGAUGAUGUUCUUCAUCAAAAUAUCACCUUCUGGAGUUCCCAUCGUGGCGCAGUGGUUAACGAAUCCGACUAGGAACCAUGAGGUUUCGGGUUCGAUCCCUGGCCUUGCUCAGUGGGUUAAGGAUGUGGCGUUGCCAUGAGCUGUGGUCAAAAAUGCGGGUGCUGUGGCUCUGGCGUAGGCUGGCAGCAACAGCUCCAAUUAGACCCCUAGCCUGGGAACCUCCAUAUGCUGUGGGUGCGGCCCUAGAAAAGGCAGAAAGACAAAACAAAACAAAACAAAACAAAUCACCUUCUGUGGCCCAGGAAUUCUUCCAGCCUUGAAUUUUAAUUUGGCUGAUAUUAAUUUUGUGAUAUUUAUUUUCUAAAUAAAUAAUUGCCAAACACAGCA